AAAUUGAAGAGUUUGAUCAUGGCUCAGAUUGAACGCUGGCGGUAGGCCUAACACAUGCAAGUCGAACGGUAACAGGAAGCAGCUUGCUGCUUCGCUGACGAGUGGCGGACGGGUGAGUAAUGUCUGGGAAACUGCCUGAUGGAGGGGGAUAACUACUGGAAACGGUAGCUAAUACCGCAUAAUGUCGCAAGACCAAA
rnacentral:rRNA from 1 species